GCCAGACUCCUACGGGAGGCAGCAGUGGGGAAUAUUGCACAAUGGGGGAAACCCUGAUGCAGCAACGCCGCGUGAGUGAAGAAGUAUUUCGGUAUGUAAAGCUCUAUCAGCAGGGAAGAGAAUGACGGUACCUGACUAAGAAGCCCCGGCUAACUACGUGCCAGCAGCCGCGGUAAUACGUAGGGGGCAAGCGUUAUCCGGAUUUACUGGGUGUAAAGGGAGCGUAGACGGGGAUGCAAGUUGGGUGUUAAAUCUACCGGCUCAACUGGUAGUCGCACUCAAAACUGCAGCUCUUGAGUGAAGUAGAGGCAGGCGGAAUUCCUAGUGUAGCGGUGAAAUGCGUAGAUAUCAGGAGGAACACCGGUGGCGAAGGCGGCCUGCUGGACUGCGACUGACGUUGAGGCCCGAAAGCGUGGGGAGCAAACAGGAUUAGAUACCCCCGUA
rnacentral:rRNA from 1 species